rnacentral:rRNA from 1 species
CCUACGGGUGGCAGCAGUGGGGAAUAUUGCACAAUGGGCGAAACUCUGAUCCAGCCACGCCGCGUGAGUGAAGAAGUCAUUAGUUAUUUAAAGCUCUUUUUGCACGGGAGAAAAUGCCGGUACCUGAGUAAGACUCCCAGGCUAACUCCGUGCCAGCAGGCGCGGUACUACGUAGGCGGCAAGCGUUAUCCGGAUUUAUUGGGUGUAAAGGGAGCGUAGACGGCAGUGCAAGUCUGUAGUGAAAGGCCGGGGCUCAACCCCCGGACUGCUCUGGAAACUGUACGGCUGGAGUGCAGGAGAGGUAAGUGGAAUUCGUAGUGUAGCGGUGAAAUGCGUAGAUAUAAGAAGGAACACCGGUGGCGAAGGCAGCUUACCGGACUGUAUCUGACGUUGAGGCACGAAAGCGUGGGGAGCAAACAGGAUUAGAUACCCUAGUAGUC